GUAUCACCAAUGAAAACUGUGUGAUGAACCACAUUUUCUUGAGCAGCUUCUACAUGCGGCUCUACCACAGUUAUCCUAUAGAACAUUGACUGGAACAUGAGAUACUGCGGCCUGGUGUAGCUUGGCAGACGUGGGAAUGGAGAGAACGCAGGUGCAGGAGAUAACGCGGCAGAAAAGCAGAACCAAGAGUUUUGUGGAAUCAAAGAAUGGAAGAUAUCCCCAGGAACUGGAAGAGCGUUACAUCUGACUACCCGAUAUUUGCAAAGGGCUGCUCAUUGCAGGCCAAGUGACACAACUGAAGUUGAACAUACUCAUACUCCCACAAAGAAAAGACAAGAAAUGCUAGUAGAAACAAUGAUUUUUCAUCAUAUUUUCCUGAUUUGGUCAAAGGUGUCAUUUCCCCUGAAGAUGCACUUCUGGAAUGCCAAGUAUCUAAUAAACAGAGAAAAAUGAAACUGACAACAAAGAGGAGCUUUCCUCCAAUGUUAGCUGGGAGUGUAAUUCCAACCAAAAGUUCCUCAGAAUGAGCCGAAAGCCUGUGCAAGACAGUGCCUACGUGCAGAAUGCGGUUGGAAGAUACGCAAUCUGUUCCUCUGAAGAUUAUAUAUAUAUCCUGAUGAAGCUAAAUCAACAAAACCAUUUAAUAUUCUGUAUUAUAUUGUUCCCUACUAUGGGAACAAUCUUCCUUACAUAGCUCUACAAUGAUAUUAAAAGGCUCCAUGAAUGCUAGUGUUUAUCUUUUAGAAGGGCAUUAUUGCCUUUAUUUUAUUACACUGUAUCUAUUUUAUGAAGAUUCUGUCAGACAUUUCUUUCUGGUUGAAAAUCAGAAACAAUGAUGCUUUUCCCGAACAAUAGUGUGAUUUAUUUUUAUCUUUAGAAGUGUAAUAGAGUCUCAA